rnacentral:rRNA from 1 species
UACAGAGGUCCCAAGCGUUGUUCGGAUUCAUUGGACGUAAAGGGUGCGUAGGUGGCGCUGUAAGUCGGGUGUGAAAUUUCGGAGCUUAACUCCGAAACUGCAUUCGAUACUGCGGUGCUUGAGGACUGGAGAGGAGACUGGAAUUCAUGGUGUAGCAGUGAAAUGCGUAGAGAUCAUGAGGAAGACCAGUGGCGAAGGCGGUUCUCUGGGACGGUACUGACGCUGAGACGCGAAAGCGUGGGGAGCGAACAGG